rfam:Ovis aries breed Texel chromosome 2, whole genome shotgun sequence.
UGGCUCAGUGGUUAAAGCAUCUGCCUGCAAUGCAGGAGACCUGGGUUCAAUCCCUG